CAGGGAAUCUUGCGCAAUGGGCGAAAGCCUGACGCAGCGACACCGCGUGGGGGAAGAAGGCCCUAGGGUUGUAAACCCCUUUUCUUGGGGAAGAGAACGGACGGUACCCAAGGAAUAAGGAUCGGCUAACUACGUGCCAGCAGCCGCGGUAAUACGUAGGAUCCGAGCGUUGUCCGGAUUUACUGGGCGUAAAGGGUGCGUAGGCGGCCUGUUAAGUCUUAUGUGAAAUCUCCCGGCUCAACUGGGAGGGGUCAUAGGAUACUGGCAGGCUCGAGGGCAGUAGAGGAGAGCGGAAUUCCCGGAGUAGCGGUGAUAUGCGUAGAUACCGGGAGGAACACCAGUGGCGAAGGCGGCUCUCUGGGCUGUCCCUGACGCUGAGGCACGAAAGCGUGGGGAGCAAACCGGAUUAGAUACCCCCGUAGUCC
rnacentral:rRNA from 1 species